UACGUAGGGUGCGAGCGUUAAUCGGAAUUACUGGGCGUAAAGCGUGCGCAGGCGGUUAUGUAAGACAGAUGUGAAAUCCCCGGGCUUAACCUGGGAACUGCAUUUGUGACUGCAUCGCUGGAGUGCGGCAGAGGGGAUGGAAUUCCGGCGUGUAGCAGUGAAUGCGUAGAUAUGCGGAGGAACACCGAUGGCGAAGGCAAUCCCCUGGGCCUGCACUGACGCUCAUGCACGAAAGCGUGGGAGCAACAGG
rnacentral:rRNA from 1 species